GCUCAUUUGCUCUGCUUUCCGCCGAAGUGCAACCGCCAGAGCUCGCUACCGAUUCCGCCGCCGUCAAGCCAUCUCCACCCAAUUCCUCUCACCCGCCGUGCCGUGACACCCUUCCGAGAACCCCCAUCCACUCCUCGCCCGACGCCAGCAACCACAGCGCCGCCGUGACCUCUUCCCUGUUCCGCCGCCCGCCAUCAACACCCCACGAUUCAGAGCCGCCGGAAGUGAAGUACGUGGAGAUUCCGUCCGAGCCAACCCUAGAAGGCGAGGACGUGAUCGUGGUGGAGCAAGUUCCUGAAGGUACCCCGGAACUCGUCGUUGAGACCGCUUACCCUGAGGAGCAGCAAGGCAAGCCUCGGUGCAUUAAUUGUAUUUAACCUUGCUAAUUCGAGUCCAAAUUGUUAUAUUUCAUGAUUGUGCAUUAAGUCUAGGAGUUGAGUGGAGUCCUUUUAAGCAUUCAUAGCUUCCUUGUUUUAAGGAUAUCUUUGCCACCUGUUUAGAAAGAAUAGAAGGUUAAGUCAUAGAAGGUUAAGUCUAAUCUGCUAGUGCCGCAGAAGUCAGGUAAUUCCCUGUUACUUGCAUAAGGACAACAUCUAAAAUUUGUUAGAUUGCAAAACAAGUUGUUUAAUGAAGGACCGGGUAAGACAUUGGCCUCAUGAUAAAAGGUGAUGUUGGAUGUUGAUGAAGAAGUUGAAAGUUUGGUCCUACCUGGAUAAUGGAUCUAAGGCCCAUUUGAUUGGUGGCCUUUAGGUCAAGCUUUGAACGUACUAAUUGCAUACCGGUAUGUGGGACUUGGUAAACUGACGUACUUCUAAGGUGCCAAAGUUUGAACUGUGACUCGCCAUGCUUGACGUGGACUGGUAGGCGGGGUCAUGGGCAUUAACUCAUGGGACAUUUGACCGGACAAUGAUGUACAUGAGGACAUGACCUUGGGCUAUGCGAGCUCAAUUCAGGCGACGGAAGCCAAGGAGAGAAAGUUGCCACGUGCAAUCUGACAGGUUGCACACGUGUCGUGUGAUUAGCUCCAUCUCCUGCAGGAUGUAAUCGGUUCGAAUUGCCGCACUUCUCAGUUGAAGAAGGUCAUUAGAUGGCCUAAGCUUGAAGAAGGACUCCAGAAGACGAGAAAUACGUUGUGGGCACGACGUGUUUCUUUUUAGUCUCGUUCGUUUGAAUAAGCUUUAUAAUGUUACCGUCCCAGACUUUAAGCGAAGUGGUUUGUUUUUAAACACUCUUAGGUACUGGUAUUAUAUGUUAAGGCAACUCUCUUAUGGUUUGUAAUAAUCCGCUGCUGUAAAUUAUUUAUUGAAAGCUGUAAUGUCUGUAACAAGAUCCUGCGUGUGAGAUCUUGGAUGU